GAGAACCUAUUAUGUGACAGUCCCUGGGCUGAGUGUCACAAGCAUUAUGUCAUUUAAUUCUUUUGGAUUUUUGUUUGAGACAGGAUCUCUCUCUGUCACCCAGGCUGGAGUGCAGCGGUGCAAUCAAGGCUCACUGCAGCCUCAGCCUCCUAGGUUCAAGUGAUCCUUCCACUUUAGCCUCCCAAGUAGCUGGGACCACAGGCAUGCACCACCACGUCCAGCUUUUUUUUUUUUUUUCUGGUAGAGAUGGGGUCUUCCUGUGUUGCCCAGGUUGGUCUGGAACUCCUGGGCUCCCACCUUCACCUCCCAAAUUGCUGGGAUUAUAGGCAUGAGCCAUCACACCCAGCCUUUUGGUUUUCUUUGGGGUUUUGUGUGUGCGUGUGUGUGUGUGUAUGUGUGUUUACUAUGUCAUUGAAUUAUUUCAGCAAGCCUAUGGGAUGGCUUCCAUGUUCCUAUUUAACAGAUGAGGAAAUGGAGACUCAGUCACUUGCCCAGGUGCACCCAGCACGCAGGUUGCUUUGUUCACAGCUAUAUCCCCAAUGCCCAGAAUAAUACUCAACAUAUAAUGGAGGCUUUGUAGGAAGAAUGAAUGAAUGAAUGGCAGAGCUGGGGUUUGAACCUAGAUCUGUUUGACUCUAUACUCUUAAGAACUCAGCUGCAUGAGUUAUGUUUAAUUAAAAUAUUUGGUGCUUUUUUUUUUUUUUUUUGCUACAAAAUCUCACUCUGUCACCCAGGCUGGAGGUGCAGUCUUGGCUCACUGCAACCUCCGCCUCCCAGGUUCAAGCAAUUCUCCUGCCUCAGCCUCCCGAGUAGCUGGGAUUACAGGCAUGCACCACCAUGCCUGGCUAAUUUUUGUAUUUUUAGUAGAGGCAGGGUUUCACAAUGUUGGCGAGGCUAGUCUAGAACUCCUAACCUCAAGUGAUCCACCUGCCUCAGCCUCCCAAAGUGCUGGGAUUACAGGCCUGAGCCACCACACCUGGCCAUUUAGUGUUAUUUUAACAAAUACCUAAUAUUAAUGGUGGCUUAAGCAAGAUGAUGUUUUAUUGCUUUUUCAUUUAAAAGUCAGGGGCAGUUUUCCAGAGCUGAUAGGAUGGUUUUAUAAACAAGGGGCCCUGUUUCCUUCUCUCUUUUUGCACCAACAUUUUCAACGCAUAACCUGCAUCUCUUGGGCCGUAGUGGCUGCUUCAGCUUCCACCAUCACAUCUGCACUGCAGCCAGCUGGAACAGAAGAGGAAAGGUAGAGCCUGUCCCAGCCCACUAAGGGCAUAACCUGGAAGUUGCCCGCAUUUCUUCUGCUCACAUCCUCAUUGGCCAGAACUUGGUCAUGUGGUCAUUCCUCACUGCAAAGGAGGCUGGGAAACGUAGUUUUUAUGCUGAAGGCUACAUUCUAGGGAACACUGUGGCUCUUACCAUAAGAGAAAGAAAAGGAACCUGGGUACAGCAAGGUAGCUCGCAGUCUCUGAUGUGUGUUUGUGUGCAGUACCUGAGGAAUUUGGCUCUGAUGUGGGGACUUGAUGAGGAGCCUGGUCAUCGAGGGAGUAACAAAUUGCCAGUGGGGACUGGGGGCCCUUAUCUGAGACUUCAGUGUGACAGCCUUCUGCCCCUCCUGUCCCCCACCAGGAUGCCAAGGAUGGGCGCUUGUUCAAUGAGCAGAACUUCUUCCAGCGGGCCGCCAAGCCUCUGCAAGGUACCUGACGGGGAACUGGGCAAGGAGGGGAGAGUGAGGGGGGCACCAACUUGGUCACAGCACCUGACUUCUACCUGCAGGCAUGAAAAGGGUGGGCUUAGAUUAAAGGCCCAGGUUUGCUCCCAUCUGUGUCCAUAACCUGACUCCUGUGACCCCUCAGGCCUCAGUGUGUGUUGUGACUGGCUCACACCAGCUCUUGGAAGCCAGGUAUUAAAUUUUCAGGCUGGGCGUGGGUUGACGCCUAUACUCCCAGCACUUUGGGAGGCUCAGGUGGGCAGAUCACUUGAGGCCAGGAGUUUGAGACCAUCCUGGGCAAUGUGGCAAAACCUUAUCUCUACUGAAAAUACAAAAAUUAGCCGGGUGUAAUGGCAUGCGCCUGUGAUCCCAGCUACUCAAGAGGCUGAGCUGAGAGAAUUGCUUGAGCCCGGGAAACAGAGGUUGCAGUGAGCUGUGAUUGUGCCACUGCACUCCAGCCUGGGCAACAGAGCCAGACCCUGUCUCC
rnacentral:sRNA from 1 species